GGCUUAUCUGAGAGGGUUUUUUACGUCACCUGCUGUUUCUAAUUGUUGUGUUUCUGAUCUCCCGGAGUUGUCUCUGUAAUGCUGAUUUUGGUGUAUUUGAUGGGAAGUUUUCGAGUUGCUGGGUUCUUGAAGGUCUACUUCCGCGAAUCACACCUCCAAAGUCCCUACCCACCUUUGAAUUGACUGACUAAUAUGGAGCUCUACAUAUCGCUCUCUCCUAGAAGUCUCCGGAGCUCCCAUGGUUUGGUGGUUGUUAGUGGUUGGCUCCUCACUUGCUUUUGGCCUUUGUUUAUUGAAGAAACAUCGUGGGUCGCUAUUAUUGACUCUUUGGUUCAUCCCUG
rnacentral:misc_RNA from 1 species